UACGUAGGGGGCAAGCGUUGUCCGGAAUCACUGGGCGUAAAGCGCGCGCAGGCGGUCAUCUACGUCUGGGGUGAAAGCCCGGAGCUCAACUCCGGGAUUGCCUUGGAUACGGGAUGACUUGAGGAUCGGAGAGGCAAGGGGAAUUCCACGUGUAGCGGUGAAAUGCGUAGAGAUGUGGAGGAACACCUGUGGCGAAGGCGGCACUCUGGGCUGGUACUGACGCUGAGGAGCGAAAGCGUGGGUAGCGAACAGG
rnacentral:rRNA from 1 species